GCGCUCCCUUAGGCAGCACACAGAGUGAAAAUGGAAUGAGACGGGAAGAUAACAUGGUCCCCAUGCAAGGGUGACACAUAGACUCAUGAAGCGUUCCGCGUUUUC
rnacentral:snRNA from 1 species